UACGAAGGGGGCGAGCGUUGUUCGGAUUUACUGGGCGUAAAGGGCGCGCAGGCGGCUCAUUUUGUCAGGCGUGAAAGCCCCGGGCUUAACCUGGGAACUGCGUUUGAUACGGAUGGGCUAGAGUUCGGGAGAGGAGAGUGGAAUUCCCAGUGUAGAGGUGAAAUGCGCAGAUAUCAGGAGGAACACCAAUUGCGAAGGCAGCUCGCUGGGACGUUACUGACGCUGAGACGCGAAAGCGUGGGGAGCAAACAGG
rnacentral:rRNA from 1 species